rnacentral:rRNA from 2 species
GCCCUUCCUUCGGGAAGGUGCCCUAGCGGCGAACGGGUGAGUAACACGUGGGCAACCUGCCCUCAGCUCUGGGAUAAGCCCGGGAAACCGGGUCUAAUACCGGAUAUGACUCCGACAGGCAUCUUGCGGAGUGGAAAGAUUCAUCGGCUGAGGAUGGGCCCGCGGCCUAUCAGCUUGUUGGUGGGGUAACGGCCUACCAAGGCGACGACGGGUAGCCGGCCUGAGAGGGCGACCGGCCACACUGGGACUGAGACACGGCCCAGACUCCUACGGGAGGCAGCAGUGGGGAAUCUUGCACAAUGGGCGAAAGCCUGAUGCAGCGACGCCGCGUGAGGGAUGACGGCCUUCGGGUUGUAAACCUCUUUCAGCAGGGACGAAGCGAAAGUGACGGUACCUGCAGAAGAGGACCGGCCAACUACGUGCCAGCAGCCGCGGUAAUACGUAGGGUCCAAGCGUUGUCCGGAAUUAUUGGGCGUAAAGAGCUCGUAGGCGGCCUGUCGCGUCGGCUGUGAAAACCUGGGGCUCAACCCCGGGCCUGCAGCCGAUACGGGCAGGCUAGAAUUCGGUAGGGGAGACUGGAACUCCUGGUGUAGCGGUG